AACGAACGCUGGCGGCAGGCUUAACACAUGCAAGUCGAACGCAUCGCAAGAUGGGUGGCAGACGGGUGAGUAACGCGUGGGAACAUACCCUUUUCUACGGAAUAGCUCUGGGAAACUGGAAUUAAUACCGUAUACGCCCUACGGGGGAAAGAUUUAUCGGGGAAGGAUUGGCCCGCGUUGGAUUAGCUAGUUGGUGGGGUAAAGGCCUACCAAGGCGACGAUCCAUAGCUGGUCUGAGAGGAUGAUCAGCCACAUUGGGACUGAGACACGGCCCAAACUCCUACGGGAGGCAGCAGUGGGGAAUAUUGGACAAUGGGCGCAAGCCUGAUCCAGCCAUGCCGCGUGAGUGAUAAAGGCCUUAGGGUUGUAAAGCUCUUUCACCGAUGAAGAUAAUGACGGUAGUCGGAGAAGAAGCCCCGGCUAACUUCGUGCCAGCAGCCGCAGUAACAC
rnacentral:rRNA from 1 species